CGCACACAUACACACACAUUUUACACUCUCCUCCCUCGGUCGCUCCUUCUGAAUAGUCUUUGGUUUCAUUCUUCUUUGCAUCCAUCAGGGAGAGGGAGUUCUGCCAGUGCCCGAAAACAUUGAACAGACACUCACUUCGCCUAACUUUUAGACUGUUGCACGACGAGAAAUGCUUAAAAUACUUAACAUAUAUUGGCUGCUAUGUUGAUUGACAACAGUGACUUUCUAGCUGAACAGGGGAAAACAAAGUUACCAAAGCGCCUCUCGCCAUUCUGACAAGUCUAACUUACUUUGCGCACCGGAGUUUUUAGUGGCCACACAAGUUGACUAUUACUUUCUACACUUAUACAGACAACAGUGAUAUGAUUGUUCUUUGAUGUCAAGCGGAUACCCAGACUGGAUACAUCAAGCAAAGGCGACGUUCAUGAAUCCGACACUGACACACAAGUGAGCUGAGGUGUUAGUCUCUCAACUGAUAGAGAAGAAAGGAGCCACACAAGUUAGUCACUUUUUCCCCCCUCUCGGGCUCCAAACCUCAAGCGACUGCAGCUUCCCGGGGAUGAGUACUUUUGUCUGUUCUGUUACCACUGUGGCUUUAGUGGGUCUUAAUUUCAUGAGGUCAUAUAGUGAGAGAUAAA
ensembl:lncRNA